AAAACUUCUAUUGCAUUGACCUGCUUCUAUCUCAUCUUUGGGUUGAUGGGGGAAAAAAAAACAAGCAAAAAGUAAUCAAACAAAAGAACUAAAAUAAAAUCAACCAAGGAUAUCAAGAGACAAGAUUGUGCUACCCUCAUUCUCUGUGGCUGCAGAUGAUGUUGGUACUGGACAGAACAGAAAAACCUUGAGGUUUGUCCUGGUCCUGCUGAAAAACAGUUUAUGUGUGGAAUUAAUUUUCUCUGUGCUGCUGAUUUGCAAACAAAGCCAAUUGCUAAUUUGACCCAUAGAAGAUGUCAGGAAACUGUGCUGAGAUAAAAUACUCAACUGCUUCCAAGUGUUUUGUUAUAAAUGCUGGAAGACAUCCACACAGUCAGGCUGCAAUCAGAUCCACAGAGAGUAGAGAAAAAUCUGUGCAUUCUCAUUCCUGAUGCUGGCAACCUUUGUUGUACUACCCCACACAACUAUCAGCUGUUUACAGAGGUGAUGACUGUUGGUGUGGUAGAUGGAUAAGGAAGAUGAGGAAGAAAAUGAUUCUUGACUAGCUGAAGUAAGAAAGAGUUUUCUUGACCUCUGGAUCCGUGAUACUACAGCUCUGCCUAUAGUUUCCACUCAAAACACAGUGAGAAGAACACAAACUCACAGCCAUUCAGGCCUGACAGUCCCCUGCAGUGAGAGCUCAGCACACAUCCACAGAGGCAAGUCCAGCACCUGAAAGAAAAAGAAAAGAACCAGAAGAAAGAGUGCCUCAGGGAGGGUGGAUAUUCCCAUGCAGAGCUGCUGCUUGAACUCCAGCUGUGCCAGGAACCAGCAGAGCUUCCAAGGAGCCUCAGCAGCACUGGGGCAGGGACAGCAAAGGGUGCACAUCCCUGCCUUCAGCACAGCUCCAGUGGGACCCACCUGGGAAAGCUUUCCAUCCCUUCUGCACUUCCAGCUGGCUCCCUGGAAACUCCCACCUUCAUCCAAACAAGACUUCAUCCCAGCCAAACCUCUGAUUUUAAGGCAUCUCUGCAGGCUGUUGGUUGGAUUCAGUAUCUGUGAGGAAAUGCCCCCUGCCACUCUCCAGAAGAGCCCUGGUCAUGCAGCAAGGGAAGCCUCAGGAUCUUCCUGCUCAUUUCUCCCUGCAAAAGGACUUGGCAAGAGCAAAUCUGCAGCUGGUUCAUACCUGUGACCCAGAGACUGGUUCAGUCAGUUGGAGCAGAGUCCUGGUACUGCCCAGGAUGUGGGUUCAAUUCUGCCACACACUGUGUACUUGAGAGUCAGAUUUAAGGAUUCUUCUCAACCCCACUAUAUUCUGUGAUCUGGAAAAAAAAAAAAAAUAUUUUCAGCUUUCAAUAAAAGUUCUAGUAAAAGCUU